rnacentral:rRNA from 1 species
GACGAACGCUGGCGGCGUGCUUAACACAUGCAAGUCGAACGGAAAGGCCCUGCCUUUGUGGGGUGCUCGAGGUGCGAACUGGGGAGUAACACGUGAGUAACCUGUCCUUGACUUUGGGAUAACUUCAUGAAACUGGGGCUAAUACCGGAUAGGAUCUCCUGCUGCAUGGUGGGGGCUGGAUAGUUUCGGCGGUUGGGGGUGGACUCGCGUCUUAUCAGCUUGUUGGUGGGGUAGUGGCUUACCAAGGCUUUGACGGGUAGCCGACCUGAGAGGGUAACCGGCCCAAUUGGGACUGAGAUAAGGCCCAGACUCGUACGGGAGGCAGGGGUGGGGAAUAGUGCACAAGGGGCGGAGGCCUGGUGUAGCAACGCCGCGUGCGGGAUGACGGCCUGCGGGUUGUAUACCGAUUUCGCCUGUGACGAAGCGUGAGUGACGGUAAUGGGUGAAGAAGCACCGGCUAACUACGUG